UUCUCUAAACUAGUUCUCUCAUUUAGCCAUUUAGGAGCAUAGUCUCCUCAAUUCUCGAAACUCCGAAAGUUCGCCGGUGCCUAGAGAGUUUGAGGUGCUUCUACUCUCUAGGACGAAGUCGUUUUAUCUUUGGGGACACUACGCCAAUCCGUGAGCACUAGCCGAGGCGUAAUUUGUCUUGCGGAAAGAGGGCUUUCCUCGACUCGACUUAUAGUUAGUACUGUAAUUUUCUAUUUUCGUUGUAAUUUCCGUUUCAGUUGUAUUUGUAUUGCUUUUCGGUUGUAAUAGUUAGAGUACUGCCUGUAAACGGCUCGAGAAUUUUCCCAAUUUUAUCCAACAGGUAAAAGGAUCAGCACGCGGGGAAGUCGGGGGCGCUGACUUAGACUUAUUUGCACUUCGAGAUGGAUAUAUAAGUGUCACUCCUCUUGGUGCUUUGUCACGAGCAGACUCAGAUAGCCACGUCUACUUUGAACAGUGGCUCCCUCGUGUGGCUGAAUUCGUCGCAUCUUCAACUCCAUAAACACACAAGCUCUGCUCUUUCUCCAUUGUCACCUGUGACUCAGUUUUUUUUUAACCUCCUAAUAAGUUUGAGCUUCUUCUUUUCCUUGUGAAAGUAUUGUUUUGGUAAUUACAUUAACUAUUAGUCUUGUUUGGCAUAUACUACUUCAUUGAGACUUUAACUAAUAGUCUUGUUUGGCAAAUACUACUUCAUUGUAUUACUUAGACUUUAACUAUCAGUCUCUGUUGAUACGAUAUUAGUAAUUACCUUUAGCUAUACUGAAUAUCACUAUUAUUAUAA